rnacentral:rRNA from 1 species
GACGAACGCUGGCGGCGUGCUUAACACAUGCAAGUCGAACGGAGAGGCCCUGCUUUUGUGGGGUGCUCGAGUGGCGAACGGGUGAGUAACACGUGAGUAACCUGCCCUUGACUUUGGGAUAACUUCAGGAAACUGGGGCUAAUACCGGAUAGGAGCUCCUGCUGCAUGGUGGGGGUUGGAAAGUUUCGGCGGUUGGGGAUGGACUCGCGGCUUAUCAGCUUGUUGGUGGGGUAGUGGCUUACCAAGGCUUUGACGGGUAGCCGGCCUGAGAGGGUGACCGGCCACAUUGGGACUGAGAUACGGCCCAGACUCCUACGGGAGGCAGCAGUGGGGAAUAUUGCACAAUGGGCGGAAGCCUGAUGCAGCAACGCCGCGUGCGGGAUGACGGCCUUCGGGUUGUAAACCGCUUUCACCUGUGACGAAGCGUGAGUGACGGUAAUGGGUAAAGAAGCACCGGCUAACUACGUG